GACGAACGCUGGCGGCGUGCUUAACACAUGCAAGUCGAACGGAAAGGCCCUGCUUUUGUGGGGUGCUCGAGUGGCGAACGGGUGAGUAACACGUGAGUAAACUGUCCUUGACUUUGGGAUAACUUCAGGAAACUGGGGCUAAUACCGGAUAGGAGCUCCUGCUGCAUGGUGGGGGUUGGAAAGUUUCGGCGGUUGGGGAUGGACUCGCGGCUUAUCAGCUUGUUGGUGGGGUAGUGGCUUACCAAGGCUUUGACGGGUAGCCGGCCUGAGAGGGUGACCGGCCACAUUGGGACUGAGGUACGGCCCAGACGCCUACGGGACGCAGCAGUGGGGAAUAUUGCACAAUGGGCGGAAGCCUGAGGCAGCAACGCCGCGUGCGGGAUGACGGGCUUCGGGUUGUAAACCGCUUUCUCCUGUGACGAAGCGUGAGUGACGGUAAUGGGUAAAGAAGCACCGGCUAACUACGUG
rnacentral:rRNA from 1 species